rnacentral:rRNA from 1 species
UACAGAGGGUGCGAGCGUUGUCCGGAAUCACUGGGCGUAAAGGGCGCGUAGGUGGCUUGGUAAGCGUGUGGUGAAAGCCUGGGGCUCAACCCCAGGUCUGCCGUGCGAACUGCCAAGCUUGAGGAUAGUAGAGGCGGGUGGAAUUUCGGGUGUAGCGGUGGAAUGCGUAGAUAUCCGAAAGAACACCGGUGGCGAAGGCGGCCCGCUGGGCUAUUUCUGACACUGAGGCGCGACAGCGUGGGGAGCAAACAGG